rnacentral:rRNA from 1 species
ACGUACACUCCUGCGGGAGGCAGCAGUGGGGAAUAUUGCACAAUGGGCGCAAGCCUGAUGCAGCCAUGCCGCGUGUGUGAAGAAGGCCUUCGGGUUGUAAAGCACUUUCAGCGGGGAGGAAGGCGAUACGGUUAAUAACCGUGUUGAUUGACGUUACCCGCAGAAGAAGCACCGGCUAACUCCGUGCCAGCAGCCGCGGUAAUACGGAGGGUGCAAGCGUUAAUCGGAAUUACUGGGCGUAAAGCGCACGCAGGCGGUCUGUCAAGUCGGAUGUGAAAUCCCCGGGCUCAACCUGGGAACUGCAUUCGAAACUGGCAGGCUUGAGUCGUGUAGAGGGGGGGAGGAUUCCAGGUGUAGCGGUGAAAUGCGUAGAGAUCUGGAGGAAUACCGGUGGCGAAGGCGGCCCCCUGGACAAAGACUGACGCUCAGGUGCGAAAGCGUGGGGAGCAAACAGGAUUAGAUACCCGAGUAGUCCCAUGAU